rnacentral:piRNA from 4 species
CAAUGGAUAGCGCAUUGGACUUCUA